rfam:Ciona savignyi cont_62623, whole genome shotgun sequence.
GGCAGGGUGGCCGAGUGGUCUAAGGCGCUACGUUCAGGUCUCAGUCUCCUCUGGAGGCGCGGGUUCGAAUCCCGCUCCUGUCA